rnacentral:rRNA from 1 species
GUAGCACGGGAGAGCUUGCUCUCUGGGUGACGAGCGGCGGACGGGUGAGUAAUGUCUGGGGAUCUGCCUGAUGGAGGGGGAUAACUACUGGAAACGGUAGCUAAUACCGCAUAACGUCGCAAGACCAAAGAGGGGGACCUUCGGGCCUCUUGCCAUCAGAUGAACCCAGAUGGGAUUAGCUAGUAGGUGGGGUAACGGCUCACCUAGGCGACGAUCCCUAGCUGGUCUGAGAGGAUGACCAGCCACACUGGAACUGAGACACGGUCCAGACUCCUACGGGAGGCAGCAGUGGGGAAUAUUGCACAAUGGGCGCAAGCCUGAUGCAGCCAUGCCGCGUGUAUGAAGAAGGCCUUCGGGUUGUAAAGUACUUUCAGCGAGGAGGAAGGCAUUAAGGUUAAUAACCUUGGUGAUUGACGUUACUCGCAGAAGAAGCACCGGCUAACUCCGUGCCAGCAGCCGCGGUAAUACGGAGGGUGCAAGCGUUAAUCGGAAUUACUGGGCGUAAAGCGCACGCAGGCGGUUUGUUAAGUCGGAUGUGAAAUCCCCGGGCUCAACCUGGGAACUGCAUUCGAAACUGGCAAGCUUGAGUCUUGUAGAGGGGGGUAGAAUUCCAGGUGUAGCGGUGAAAUGCGUAGAGAUCUGGAGGAAUACCGGUGGCGAAGGCGGCCCCCUGGACAAAGACUGACGCUCAGGUGCGAAAGCGUGGGGAGCAAACAGGAUUAGAUACCCUGGUAGUCCACGCCGUAAACGAUGUCGACUUUGGAGGUUGUGCCCUUUGAGGCGUGGCUUCCGGAGCUAACGCGUUAAGUCGACCGCCUGGGGGAGUACGGGCCGCAAGGUUAAAACUCAAAUUGAUUUGACGGGGGCCCGCACAAGCGGUGGGAGCAUGUGGGUUUAAUUCCAAUGCAACGCCG